rnacentral:tRNA from 1 species
GCUUUCGUGGUGUAGUGGUCAGCGCGCUCGACGGGUAUUCGACAGGUCCGUGGUUCGAGUCCCGGCGAUGGUA